GAGGGCCCGGAGGAGUUACGUACGACCCUCCGGGCCCUCCCGCGAGAAUCAGGAGUAUUCGGGUUCCGGGGGGAGUAUGGUCGCAAGGCCGAAACUUAAAGGAAUUGACGGAAGGGCACCACCAGGAGUGGAAUCUGCGGCUUAAUUUGACCCAACGCGGGAAAACUCACCAGGUCAGGACACGGUAAGGAUUGACGGACUGAAGGCUCUUUCUCGAUUCCGUGGAAAGUGGUGCAUGGCCGUUUUUGGUGGUGGAUCGAUCCGUCUGGUUAAUUCCGUUAACGAACGAGACCUCGGCACUCCGAAUAGCGCGGCGGACGUCGCGGCCUCCGGGCCGUCUUCCGCACGAGCUUCUUAGAGGGACCGUCCCCCGCCGGGGAAGGAGGUGCGAGGCAACGACAGGUCUGUGAUGCCCUUAGAUGUUCUGGGCCGCACGCGCAUUACACUGACGCGUCCAACGGGUGACUCCCGACCCGAAGGGCCGGGAAUCCGCAAGGCGCGUCGUGAUGGGGAUUGAACGUUGCAAUUGUGUUCACGAACGAGGAAUUCCUAGUAGGCGCGGGUCAGUCAACCCGCG
rnacentral:rRNA from 1 species